CACGGGGGGAGCAAGCGUUGUUCGGAAUCACUGGGCGUAAAGGGCGUGUAGGCGGUCAAGUAAGUGGAAUGUGAAAGCCCCCGGCUUACCCGGGGAUCUGCAUCCCAAACUGCUUGGCUUGAGUACGGGAGAGGAUAGGGGAAUUCCUGGUGUAGCGGUGAAAUGCGUAGAUAUCAGGAGGAACACCAGUGGCGAAGGCGGCACUCUGGGCCGGUACUGACGCUGAGGAGCGAAAGCGUGGGGAGCGAACAGG
rnacentral:rRNA from 1 species